rnacentral:rRNA from 1 species
UACGGGGGGAGCGAACGUUGUUCGGAAUCACUGGGCGUAAAGGGCGUGUAGGCGGCUGAAUAAGUGGGAUGUUAAAUCCCCCGGCUCAACCGGGGACCUGCAUCUCAUACUGCCGGACUAGAGUAUGGGAGAGGAUGAGGGAAUUCCUGGUGUAGCGGUGAAAUGCGUAGAUAUCGGGAGGAACACCAGUGGCGAAGGCGAGUCUCUGGCCUAAUACUGACGCUGAUGCGCGAAAGCUAGGGGAGCAAACGGG